UCGGCGCUAAUACCUCAUAAUGCAGCGGAUCCGCAUGGAUAUGUUGUUAAGGUUUACCGCCUUGGGAUAGGCUUGCGUCUGAUUAGCUAGUUGGUGUGGUAAUGGCACACCAAGGCUACGAUCAGUAACUGGUCUGAGAGGAUGAUCAGUCACACUGGAACUGAGACACGGUCCAGACUCCUACGGGAGGCAGCAGUGAGGAAUAUUGGGCAAUGCACGAAAGUGUGACCCAGCAACGCCGCGUGGAGGAUGAAGGUAUCCUAUAUCGUAAACUCCUGUGAGAGCAGACGAAAGACAGAUUAUUAAUUUGGAUGACUGUAUGCUCAGAGGAAGCCCCGGCUAACUACGUG
rnacentral:rRNA from 1 species